AGGUUGGUGAACACACUCACAUGCUGGGAGGGUGGUGCACCCCAACUCCUGAGCAUGGGACCCUUCUGGACCUCGCCCUACGUACCUCUUCAUCUGUGUCCUGUAUAAUAAACUGGUAAAUGUGGAAAGGCAGUCCUGAAGCUGAAGCCUCACAUCGUAAGCACAAUAGUGGCCACAGGUGGCUGAUGUAUCACAUCAAAUAAUUUUUAGUGGAAAAUAGCCACAGUCAAGGAGCACUCCUUCACAGUUUCACCGUUAAAACUACCACAACCUUUCAUAUCUAGGAAUGUCUUCCUGUUGCUUCAAAGAAGAAGAAAAUUUGCCAGAUCACAAACAUUUCCCCUUGAAACUUGUUAGACAAUGUUCUCUUACUUUCUGACAUCACAUGUUGUGACAGAAUAUGAAGCCAGCCUUGUUUUUUAAAAUUCCAUUGUCUAAUUUUUUGUUGCUCUUAAAUAAAAGUACAAUUGACUUUCUAA